UACGUAGGGUGCGAGCGUUGUCCGGAAUUACUGGGCGUAAAGAGCUCGUAGUGGUUUGUCGCGUUGUUCGUGAAAUUCCCUGGCUUAACUGGGGCGUGCGGGCGAUACGGGCAGACUGGAGUACUGCAGGGGAGACUGGAAUUCCUGGUGUAGCGGUGGAAUGCGCAGAUAUCAGGAGGAACACCGGUGGCGAAGGCGGCUCUCUGGGACGGUAC
rnacentral:rRNA from 1 species